AACAAACAAAAAAACGGAAGGAGAAUAUUAUCAAUAUACACAUAAUAUCUUUGUCUCUUUUGAGAUAAUCGUCUCUCAUUUUCUCUUUCUCUUUCUCUUCCUCUCUUUCUCUUUCUC
rnacentral:ribozyme from 1 species